CAGCCGCCGCGGUAAUACGGAGGAUCCAAGCGUUAUCCGGAAUCAUUGGGUUUAAAGGGUCCGUAGGCGGUCUUGUAAGUCAGUGGUGAAAGCCCAUCGCUCAACGGUGGAACGGCCAUUGAUACUGCAGGACUUGAAUUAUUGGGAAGUAACUAGAAUAUGUAGUGUAGCGGUGAAAUGCUUAGAGAUUACAUGGAAUACCAAUUGCGAAGGCAGGUUACUACCAAUUGAUUGACGCUGAUGGACGAAAGCGUGGGUAGCGAACAGGAUUAGAUACCCGAGUAGUCCCUGUCUCUUAUAU
rnacentral:rRNA from 1 species